rnacentral:rRNA from 1 species
AUGAACGCUGGCGGCGUGCCUAAUACCUGCAAGUCGAGCGCACAGACGAGGAGCUUGCUCCUCUGACGUUAGCGGCGGACGGGUGAGUAACACGUGGAUAACCUACCUAUAAGACUGGGAUAACUUCGGGAAACCGGAGCUAAUACCGGAUAAUAUAUUGAACCGCAUGGUUCAAUAGUGAAAGACGGUUUUGCUGUCACUUAUAGAUGGAUCCGCGCCGCAUUAGCUAGUUGGUAAGGUAACGGCUUACCAAGGCAACGAUGCGUAGCCGACCUGAGAGGGUGAUCGGCCACACUGGAGCUGAGACACGGUCCAGACUCCUACGGGAGGCAGCAGUAGGGAAUCUUCCGCAAUGGGCGAAAGCCUGACGGAGCAACGCCGCGUGAGUGAUGAAGGUCUUCGGAUCGUAAAACUCUGUUAUUAGGGAAGAACAAAUGUGUAAGUAACUAUGCACGUCUUGACGGUACCUAAUCAGAAAGCCACGGCUAACUACGUG